GAAAAGAAACCAACAGGGAUUGCCCUAGUAACGGCGAGUGAAGCGGCAACAGCUCAAAUUUGAAAUCUGGCUUCGGCCCGAGUUGUAAUUUGCAGAGGAUGUUUUUGGCGCGGUGCCUUCCGAGUUCCCUGGAACGGGACGCCACAGAGGGUGAGAGCCCCGUAUGGUUGAACACCAAGCCUGUGUAAAACUCCUUCGACGAGUCGAGUAGUUUGGGAAUGCUGCUCUAAAUGGGAGGUAAAUCUCUUCUAAAGCUAAAUACCGGCCAGAGACCGAUAGCGCACAAGUAGAGUGAUCGAAAGAUGAAAAGCACCUUGAAAAGGGGGUUAAACAGUACGUGAAAUUGUUGAAAGGGAAGCGCUCAUGACCAGACUUGUGCCGUGCGGCUCAUCCGGGGUUCUCCCCGGUGCACUCCGCACGGCUCAGGCCAGCAUCGGUUCUCGUUGGGGGAUAAGAACAGUAGGAACGUGGCCCCCCUCGGGGGGUGUUAUAGCCUAUUGUACGAUACCCUGGCGGGGACCGAGGACCGCGCUUCGGCAAGGAUGCUGGCGUAAUGGUCAUCAGCGACCCGUCUU
rnacentral:rRNA from 1 species